CACUUCUGAUUUUCUGUCUCACUUAUUUCAUACUGAGGAGAAGAAAAGGUGAUAAAAUAAAUGCUUCUAUUGAAGAUUCUCCAGUAACAAAGCAGGAAACUGAAGCUGAAACACUGAAUUACGCAGCUCUAAAAUUCUCCAAGAAGAAAGUCAAAGCUGCAGAAAGAAAAACUGGAUCAUCAGAUGAGUGUGU